AUACGUAGGGGGCGAGCGUUGUCCGGAAUGAUUGGGCGUAAAGGGCGCGUAGGCGGCUUUGCAAGUCAGUAGUGGAAGUCCAUUUUUCAAGGAUGGAAGUGCUACAGAAACUGCGGAGCUUGAGUGCAGGAGAGGUUAUCGGAAUUCCCGGUGUAGCGGUGAACUGCGUAGAGAUCGGGAGGAACACCAGUGGCGAAGGCGGGUAACUGGACUGCAACUGACGCUGAGGCGCGAAAGUGUGGGGAGCAAACAGGAUUAGAUACCCUGGUAGUCCACACUGUAAACGAUGAAUGCUAGGUGUAGGAGGUAUCGACCCCUUCUGUGCCGCAGUAAACACAGUAAGCAUUCCGCCUGGGGAGUACGGUCGCAAGAUUAAAACUCAAAUGAAUUGACGGGG
rnacentral:rRNA from 1 species